rnacentral:lncRNA from 1 species
CAACCAUGCCGUUAUUUACUGUGCUUUGCCUGGCAACCACAUGACUAUCUUCCUUGCCUAACCCCCAACACCUUCUUUGUCUUUAGCUGGAGGUCUUAUUUAAGGUGGUGGCUUGGGCCAUUUUGGGAAGUUAUUCAGUUUUCCUGGGUAUUUCCUAGGUAUAUCUCCCAUGUAUACUCAGUUUUCCAUGAAUAUCUCCCAGGUAUAUAUGUCAUUAAGCUUCUGUUUUUCUCCUAUUAAUCUUUUAUGACAGAGAGUUCUCAGCUAAGAGCCUUUAGGGGUAGAGGAAAAAUACAUUUUCCCCCUCUAUACAAGCACAUAGUGGAUGCUUGGACAGUAUUGUUUUUUCUAUCCUUCUCAUGGCAUCUUUUUAUAUUUUUUGAAAUCAUACAUUUAAUCAUAUCAUGAAAUUUCACUGAUACUCAUUCACCUCCAGGGGAGAUCUAUCAGCAUUAUCUCUGUGUUUAAGUUGAGAAUUAAUUUUUCUAAACUCCUACCUAUAAGUCACUUUCAAGAUAUGGUAACUUAGGUCUGAUUGUACUUAAAAAUGCGAACAAUGCUUAUGUAACUUUAGUUAGGCAGCAUCUGGAGCUGAUUUCCUAACUUUGAUUAACAGAACCAGCCUGAUGAAUCCCAGAUGUUUAAACAUGGCUGUAUUUCUUAGACUCACUGGAUUGUGAGAGUGAAUACAUGGGAGGAAGGGAAAAAUUUACAAGAACUAGGUGACAGAGUGGCCAAGGGGGUUUUGGCGUGUUGGCUUAGCUGGGGGUAUCUUUCUCAAUGAACAUCCCCAUUAAAGUUUUAUGCAUGUUAUUAAGACAAAGGUCCAAUCCUUGUUAACCCCAUAGUAUGUCUUAAUAACUCAUUCAUAUUUAUUCCUACAGAGAUAUUUUUGAGCAUCUACUACAUCUAAAGCCUUGUGGUUAGAAAGAUAAAUAAAAACAUUCCUUACCUUUGAGUCACUCAGUUUAGUGAAGGAGUCAGGCAUGUGAACAGUAAUUAUAAUCAAUUAUGACUGCUAUAUUGAAGGGCUGAGUACAGAAAGUAACUGGGUUUUCCAGGGAAGUCAAGAUGGUUUCAAAGGGAAGGAGACACUGGGCUCAAGAUUUCUAUGCAUUACGUCUACUGAUUGUAUUUAGCUGUGCUAACAUAAUACAGCUUCCAUAUAAUUGUAUGUUCCAUAGCUCACAGGGCCAUUUAUAUGUCAUAAAAAUACAUUAAAAAAAUUCAAUCCAGAGUCAGAGCAGUAAAAACAUGCAUAUGAAUCAUGGACUGCCCAUCAUUUGGUAAAGCUUUUAUAAAAACAAUAAAUAUAUUAUUAGUCUUUCUUUUGCCAUAAAUUAUGCUUUUAAGUUAAAGAAUGCCUUUGCCUUUUGCAACCUUUUUCUUACUCUAACGCAUGCUCAAUGUUAUGGACAGAAAAUCAGAUAAGUUCAAAAUUACAAGUCUUUGAGGGGGAAAGAUGUCAUUCUGUGACAUUUUAGUUCUCAUAAAAUCUGCUCCAUUCCCCCCUCCCAAGGAAAUAUCAACCCUGAGUGAAAAGACAAAAUGUGUACCCUAAGUAGAGGAAUCUGAGUACCCUAUUGACAGUAAUUUUGAAAGUACCCUAUUGACAGUAAUUUUGAGAAUAAUUAAAACACAAUUGCAUGCUUUUAGAGGUAGAAAGAAAUUAAGUAUUAAGCUGCUGCCAAGAAUAAAAAGGUUACUAAUUCUUACACAACUUUUUUCAAUGAAAACUAAUGUCCCAUCAGACUCAAAUGUGUGUCAACCCUUUUCUUUACUCAGCUUUGACUAGUAAUUUCUUACUCUUCUUUUGUAUUCAGUGUCUCAGUACCUCCUUGUCUGUCAAACCUAAACUUACCAUUUACUCCUGUAAAUUCUUCCUGUGCAUUAACAAGGAUUGUCCACUUUGAUAGGUAUGCUAGACAAGCUAUACCAACAGACCUGGCUAUACCCUUUUCCUGGACCAUGUCCCUAGCCUUCAGUUCUUCACCCAUCAGAUGCCUACUUACCUUUCACAGCCUAGUUUACGUAUCAUUAUAUAAUCUUCAUCACACCUGUAAUUGCAUGCUCAGGGUUUGUCUUUCUCACCUGAUUAUAAGUUCCAGGAGAGCAGGAGAUUUGUGUGUCUAUAUUCAUCAUUGUAUCGUCAUCAUGCUCAUUGUAGUCAUGCAGAAAAUACUUGCUGAAAAGAAAACAUUCAAAAUAUUUAUCACUGUAAUAGUUUAUGCUCUAGUAAUAUAUUGCCUGAUCUGUCUAGAAGGUAUGUUUUUUUUAUCUUAGAGGCUUCGAUACACUGUUCUCUGUCCAGACCAACUUUCUCAUAAAUGAUUAUAUCUUGACCUUCAGGUCUCAGUGGAAAUCUCACCUCUUCAUGAAGAUCUCUCACCAAUCUAAGUUUUUGGUGUGGUGUUCUUCUUGCAGACAAUGGAGUUGUAGCCUCUUACUUCUGAAGUCUACUGCCCUUAUUAUGGCUGAAGUUGGUAUGGGUGCUUGCUCUAGGCUUCCUGAUGGGAGGGACUGGUGCCUGCCCACUGGAGAUCCUCUAAAAACUGCAGUUAUGUCUGACCCAGAUUCCUAUGGAGACUCUGCUUUGCCCUGGGACCUAGGGCACAUGAAAACCUAUGUGAACCUUUCAAGAAUGGGGUCUCCAUUUCCCCCAGUCCCAUGGAACUCCUGGGUACAACCUCUGCUGGCCUUCAAUACCAGAUGCUCUGGGAGCGCUUUCUUCCAAUGCCAGAUCCCCAGGUGUGGAGACCUGAUGUGGGGCUCAGAACUCUCACUCCUGUAG